GACGAACGCUGGCGGCGUGCUUAAUACAUGCAAGUCGAACGGAAAGACCCUGCGCUUGUUGCGUGCUCGAUUGGCGAACGGGUGUGUAACACGUGAGUAACCUCCCCUUGUCUGUGGGAUAACUUCACGAAACUGGGGCUCAUACCGGAUAUGAGCUCCUGCUGCAUGUGGUUGGUUGGAAAGUUUCGGCGGUUGGGGAUGGACUCGCGGGUUAUCAGCUGCUUUGUGGGGUAGUUGCAUACCAAGGUUUUGACGGGUAGCCGGCCUGAGAGGGGUAACAGGGACCAUGGGACUGAGGUAGGGACCAGAAUCGAACGGGACGCAGUAGUGGAGAAUAUUGCACAAUGGGGGGAAGCGUGAUGCAGCAACGCUGGGUGCGGGAAGACGGGCUUCGGGGUGUAAACAGAUUUGGACUGAGACGAAGCGUGAGUGACGGUAAUGGGUAAAGAAGCACCGGCUAACUACGUG
rnacentral:rRNA from 1 species